rnacentral:rRNA from 1 species
UACACUCCUACGGGAGGCAGCAGUGGGGAAUAUUGCACAAUGGGCGCAAGCCUGAUGCAGCCAUGCCGCGUGUGUGAAGAAGGCCUUCGGGUUGUAAAGCACUUUCAGCGGGGAGGAAGGCGAUACGGUUAAUAACCGUGUUGAUUGACGUUACCCGCAGAAGAAGCACCGGCUAACUCCGUGCCAGCAGCCGCGGUAAUACGGAGGGUGCAAGCGUUAAUCGGAAUUACUGGGCGUAAAGCGCACGCAGGCGGUCUGUCAAGUCGGAUGUGAAAUCCCCGGGCUCAACCUGGGAACUGCAUUCGAAACUGGCAGGCUUGAGUCUUGUAGAGGGGGGUAGAAUUCCAGGUGUAGCGGUGAAAUGCGUAGAGAUCUGGAGGAAUACCGGUGGCGAAGGCGGCCCCCUGGACAAAGACUGACGCUCAGGUGCGAAAGCGUGGGGAGCAAACAGGAUUAGAAACCCUUGUAGUCCCAUGAU